rnacentral:lncRNA from 1 species
UACUGAAUACAUCUUAUUUAUUAGGUCCACGUUUUCUGUACACAGUAAUAUCGGAUCUUAGCUACAUUUAUACUCUUCACACAUAAAAAAUAUUAUUUUUAUUAGUACAUCUUUAUAAAUCAAAGUUUGUUAACCGAAGGUCAAUUAAAAUUAGAUUGUCUGAAUAUAUCAUAAUAUGUAAACGGAAGUCCAAUUUAAACCUUAACAAUUAAAUACAUAUAUAUUGAAUUCAUAUGUUUUAUAUGAUAGCUUUUUUUAUUUGAUUAAAUAAAUUUUUGUUAAUAUUAAAUAACAAC